rnacentral:rRNA from 1 species
CGGGACGGGUGAGUAAUGCUUGGGAAUCUGGCUUAUGGAGGGGGAUAACUACGGGAAACUGUAGCUAAUACCGCGUAGUAUCGGAAGAUGAAAGUGCGGGACCGUAAGGGCCGCAUGCCAUGGGAUGAGCCCAAGUGGGAUUAGGUAGUUGGUGGGGUAAAGGCCUACCAAGCCUGCGAUCUCUAGCUGGUCUGAGAGGAUGGCCAGCCACACUGGAACUGAGACACGGUCCAG